UCUGCCAAAAAAAAAAAAAAAAAAGAGUCAGGAGGAUUGCUUGAGCCCAGGAGUUCUGGGCUAUUGUGAACUAGGUGAUCGGGCGUCUGCACUAAGUUUGGCAUCAAUAUGGUGAUGUUUUGGGAGCAGGGACCACCAGGUUGCCUAAGGUGUCUGAGGAGGGGUUUCCAGGUUGGAAACGGAGCAGUUCGACACCCCCGAGCUGAUCAGUAGUGCGACUGCUCCUGUGAGUAGCCGCUGCACUCCAGCUUGGGCAGCAUAGCGCCACCCCACUUCU
rnacentral:SRP_RNA from 1 species